GCCCGUGGCGAUAGCACGUUGAAUGCCCCAGUUCCCGAUGGAUCACUGAAGUUAACCAACUUUGCAAGACGUAUGUAUCCCGAUGGGUGACCGUCUGGUCAAUCACGAUUCACGUGCUGCUGGCU
rfam:Asian citrus Psyllid, Diaphorina citri - Florida Strain, whole genome shotgun sequence.